rnacentral:rRNA from 1 species
GGCGGGUGCACUAAUACAUGCAAGGUCGAGCGACACGGCAACGAGAAGCUUGCUUCUCUGAUGUUAGCGGCGGACGGGUGAGUACACACGUGGAUAACCUACCUAUAAGACCUGGGAUAACUUCGGGAAACCGGAAGCUACAUACCCGGACUGAUAUUUUGAACCGCAUGGUUCAAAAGUGAAAGACGGUCUUGCUGUCACUUAUAGACUGGAUCCGCGCUGCACUUAGCUACGUUGGUAAUGUGUACACCGGCUUACCAAGGCAACGACUGCAUAGCCGACCUGAGACGGGUGAUCGGCCACACCUGGAACCUGAGACACGGACCACGACUCCUACGGGAGGCAGCACGUACGGGAAUCUAUCCGCAAUGGGCGAAAGCCUGACGGAGCAACGCCGCGUGAGUGAUGAAGGUCUUCGGAUCGUACAAACUCUGUUAUUAGGGACAGAACAUAUGUGUAAGUAACUGUGCACAUCUUGACGGUACCUAAUCAGAAAGCCACGGAUAAAUACGUGCCAGCAGCCGCCGGUAAUACGUACGUGGCAAGCAGUCAUCCGGAAUCAUAGGGCGUACCAGCGCGCGUAGG